GCGUCAUUCAGAGUAGCGCUGAGGGAUCUGGCCCAGAGACGCGCUCGGCAACCUGGUUCACAGCCACCAAGGUGCCAAUGCCAGCCCGGUGACGGGGGCAAUGAGGC
rnacentral:ncRNA from 2 species